GACGAACGCUGGCGGCGUGCUUAACACAUGCAAGUCGAACGGAAAGGCACUGCUUUUGUGGGGUGCUCGAGUGGCGAACGGGUGAGUAACACGUGAGUAACCUGCCCUUGACUUUGGGAUAACUUCAGGAAACUGGGGCUAAUACCGGAUAGGAGCUCAUGCUGCAUGGUGGGGGUUGGAAAGUUUCGGCGGUUGGGGAUGGAUGCGCGGCUUAUCAGCUUGUUGGUGGGGUAGUGGCUUACCAAGGCUUUGACGGGUAGCCGGCCUGAGAGGGUGACCGGCCACAUUGGGACUGAGAGACGGCCCAGACUCCUACGGGAGGCAGCAGUGGGGAAUAUUGCACAAUGGGCGGAAGCCUGAUGCAGCAACGCCGCGUGCGGGAUGACGGCCUUCGGGUUGUAAACCGCUUUCGCCUGUUACGAAGCGUGAGUGACGGUAAUGGGUAAAGAAGCACCGGCUAACUACGUG
rnacentral:rRNA from 1 species